rnacentral:rRNA from 1 species
GACGAACGCUGGCGGCGUGCUUAACACAUGCAAGUCGAACGGAAAGGCCCUGCUUUUGUGGGGUGCUCGAGUGGCGAACGGGUGAGUAACACGUGAGUAACCUGCCCUUGACUUUGGGAUAACUUCAGGAAACUGGGGCUAAUACCGGAUAGGAGCUCCUGCUGCAUGGUGGGGGUUGGAAAGUUUCGGCGGUUGGGGAUGGACUCGCGGCUUAUCAGCUUGUUGGUGGGGUAGUGGCUUACCAAGGCUUUGACGGGUAGCCGGCCUGAGAGGGUGACCGGCCACAUUGGGACUGAGAGACGGACCAGACUCCUACGGGAGGCAGCAGUGGGGAAUAUUGCACAAUGGGCGGAAGCCUGAUGCAGCAACGCCGCGUGCGGGAUGACGGCCUUCGGGUUGUAAACCGCUUUCGCCUGUGACGAAGCGUGAGUGGCGGUAAUGGGUAAAGAAGCACCGGCUAACUACGUG